rnacentral:misc_RNA from 1 species
GAAAUGCGAUAAGUAAUGUGAAUUGCAGAAUUCCGUGAAUCAUCAAAUCUUUGAACGCAAAUUGCACUCCUUGGUAUUCCGAGGAGUAUGCUUGCUUGAGGGUUUUUCUACAAAAAAAAUCGUAAAAUAUUUUCUUUACGGAUCUGGGUUUUCCGAAUUUAUUUUUUGGUGACCUAAAAUUUAUCUUGACAAUAUUUUGGUAUGAUAUUGAAAAUGGUCUACCUUGCAUAUUCUUUGCGAGUUCAUUGACAAGUUCUUACCUAUUUGUUACGUCGCGUCAUUUUCCUGAUAACAUUUUUUGAUUAGGUGAAGUGACACAUUUAUUUAUUUUUGAACCUCAAGUCAAGUAAGGAUACCCGCUGAACUUAA